UGGGGAAUAUUGCACAAUGGGCGCAAGCCUGAUGCAGCGACGCCGCGUGAGGGAUGACGGCCUUCGGGUUGUAAACCUCUGUUAGCAUCGAAGAAGCGAAAGUGACGGUAGGUGCAGAGAAAGCGCCGGCUAACUACGUGCCAGCAGCCGCGGUAAUACGUAGGGCGCGAGCGUUGUCCGGAAUUAUUGGGCGUAAAGAGCUUGUAGGCGGUUGGUCGCGUCUGCUGUGAAAGGCCGGGGCUUAACUCCGGUUUUGCAGUGGGUACGGGCUAACUAGAGUGCAGUAGGGGAGACUGGAAUUCCUGGUGUAGCGGUGGAAUGCACAGAUAUCAGGAGGAACACCGAUGGCGAAGGCAGGUCUCUGGGCUGUAACUGACGCUGAGAAGCGAAAGCAUGGGGAGCGAACAGGCUUAGAUACCCUGGUAGUCCACGCUGUAAACGGUGGGUACUAGGUGUGGGGUCCAUUCCACGGGUUCCGUGCCGUAGCUAACGCUUUAAGUACCCCGCCUGGGGAGUACGGCCGCAAGGCUA
rnacentral:rRNA from 1 species